ACGAGGGGGGCAAGCGUUGUUCGGAAUUAUUGGGCGUAAAGGGCGCGUAGGCGGUGCGGUAAGUCACCUGUGAAAACUCUGGGCUCAACUCAGAGCCUGCAGGCGAAACUGCCGUGCUGGAGUGUGGGAGAGGUGCGUGGAAUUCCUGGUGUAGCGGUGAAAUGCGCAGAUAUCAGGAGGAACACCAAUGGCGAAGGCAGCUCGCUGGGACGGUACUGACGCUGAGGCGCGAAAGCGUGGGGAGCAAACAGGA
rnacentral:rRNA from 1 species